GUGGGGAAUAUUGCACAAUGGGCGCAAGCCUGAUGCAGCAACGCCGCGUGAGGGAUGACGGCCUUCGGGUUGUAAACCUCUUUUAGUAGGGAAGAAGCGUAAGUGACGGUACCUGCAGAAAAAGCACCGGCUAACUACGUGCCAGCAGCCGCGGUAAUACGUAGGGUGCAAGCGUUGUCCGGAAUUAUUGGGCGUAAAGAGCUCGUAGGCGGCUUGUCGCGUCUGCUGUGAAAACCCGAGGCUCAACCUCGGGCUUGCAGUGGGUACGGGCAGGCUAGAGUGCGGUAGGGGAGAUUGGAAUUCCUGGUGUAGCGGUGGAAUGCGCAGAUAUCAGGAGGAACACCGAUGGCGAAGGCAGAUCUCUGGGCCGUAACUGACGCUGAGGAGCGAAAGCAUGGGGAGCGAACAGGAUUAGAUACCCCAGUAGUCC
rnacentral:rRNA from 1 species